rnacentral:rRNA from 1 species
UACGUAGGGGGGCAAGCGUUUGUCCGGAAUCAUUGGGCGUAAAGAGCGUGUAGGCGGCUCGGUAAGUCCGCUGUGAAAGUCCAGGGCUCAACCCUGGAAUGCCGGUGGAAACUGUCGGGCUAGAGUCCGGAAGAGGCGAGUGGAAUUCCUGGUGUAGCGGUGAAAUGCGCAGAUAUCAGGAGGAACACCAAUGGCGAAGGCAGCUCGCUGGGACGGUACUGACGCUGAGACGCGAAAGCGUGGGGAGCAAACAGG